UACAGAGGUCUCAAGCGUUGUUCGGAUUCAUUGGGCGUAAAGGGUGCGUAGGUGGCGCCGUAAGUCGGGUGUGAAAUUUCGGAGCUUAACUCCGAAACUGCAUUCGAUACUGCGGUGCUUGAGGACUGGAGAGGAGACUGGAAUUCAUGGUGUAGCAGUGAAAUGCGUAGAUAUCUGGAGGAACACCGGUGGCGAAGGCGGCAUCCUGGACCGGCAUUGACGCUGAGGAGCGAAAGCCAGGGGAGCAAAGCGGG
rnacentral:rRNA from 1 species